GAUGAAGAACGUAGCGAAAUGCGAUAAGUAGUGUGAAUUGCAGAAUUCCGUGAAUCAUCGAGUCUUUGAACGCACAUUGCGCCCCCUGGUAUUCCGGGGGGCAUGCCUGUCCGAGCGUCAUUGCUGCCCUCAAGCACGGCUUGUGUGUUGGGCUCCGUCCCCCCGGGGACGGGUCCGAAAGGCAGCGGCGGCACCGAGUCCGGUCCUCGAGCGUAUGGGGCUUUGUCACCCGCUCUGUAGGCCCGGCCGGCGCCAGCCGACAACCAAUCAUCCUUUUUUCAGGUUGACCUCGGAUCAGGUAGGGAUACCCGCUGAACUUAAGCAUAUCAAUAAGCGGAGGA
rnacentral:misc_RNA from 1 species